UAACUUUUAACAGCGAUCGGUGUGUCAG
rnacentral:sRNA from 1 species